UCCAAAGGACUUUCACCAUCGGGAUUUUCUUGUUCCUCAACUUUCUGAUCUGAGUGUCAAGAAUCCGCACUGGCUGUUCAACAUAGGUGAGAUCCUCUUGGAUCUCCACAUCAGGCUCACUAAGAACCUUGCCCGGAUCUGACACGAACUUUCGUAACAUUGAAACAUGGAAAACCGGAUGGAUUCUCUCCAUUGAUGCAGGCAAGUCCAGCUUGUACGAUACACUCCCAAUCUUUUGCAAGACUUCAAAGGGUCCGAUGUA
rnacentral:lncRNA from 1 species